rnacentral:rRNA from 1 species
GACGAACGCUGGCGGCGUGCUUAACACAUGCAAGUCGAACGGAAAGGCCCUGCUUUUGUGGGGUGCUCGAGUGGCGAACGGGUGAGUAACACGUGAGUAACCUGCCCUUGACUUUGGGAUAACUUCAGGAAACUGGGGCUAAUACCGGAUAGGAGCUCCUGCUGCAUGGUGGGGGUUGGAAAGUUUCGGCGGUUGGGGAUGGACUCGCGGCUUAUCAGCUUGUUGGUGGGGAGUGGCUUACCAAGGCUUUGACGGGUAGCCGGCCUGAGAGGGUGACCAGCCACAUUGGUACUGAGAUACGGCCCAGACUCCUACGGGAGGCAGCAGUGGGGAAUAUUGCACAAUGGGCGGAAGCCUGAUGCAGCAACGCCGCGUGCGGGAUGACGGCCUUCGGGUUGUAAACCGCUUUCGCCUGUGACGAAGCGUGAGUGACGGUAAUGGGUAAAGAAGCACCGGCUAACUACGUG